GGAGAGAUGGCCGAGUGGUUUAAGGCGCAGCACUGGAAAUGCUGUAACGGGGCAACUCGUUCGAGGGUUCGAAUCCCUCUCUCUCCG
rnacentral:tRNA from 1 species